AUCCAGCUGACGAGUCCCAAAUAGGAUGAAACGUGCUUCAAACUAGAU
rnacentral:hammerhead_ribozyme from 1 species